rnacentral:rRNA from 1 species
AACGAACGCUGGCGGCAGGCUUAACACAUGCAAGUCGAACGCCCCGCAAGGGGAGUGGCAGACGGGUGAGUAACACGUGGGAACGUGCCCUAAGGUUCGGAAUAUUCUCGGGAAACUGAGAGCAAUACCGAAUGUGUCCGAGAGGAGAAAGAUUUAUCGCCUUAGGAUCGGCCCGCGUUGGAUUAGCUAGUUGGUGGGGUAAAAGCCUACCAAGGCGACGAUCCAUAGCUGGUCUGAGAGGACGACCAGCCACACUGGGACUGAGACACGGCCCAGACUCCUACGGGAGGCAGCAGUGGGGAAUCUUGGACAAUGGGCGCAAGCCUGAUCCAGCCAUGCCGCGUGAGUGAUGAAGGCCCUAGGGUUGUAAAACUCUUUCGCCGAGGACGAUAAUGACGGUACUCGGAGAAGAAGCUCCGGCUAACUUCGUGCCAGCAGCCGCCGUAACAC